rnacentral:rRNA from 1 species
GAUGAACGCUGGCGGCGUGCCUAAUACAUGCAAGUCGAGCGAACGGACGAGAAGCUUGCUUCUCUGAUGUUAGCGGCGGACGGGUGAGUAACACGUGGAGAACCUACCUAUAAGACUGGGAUAACUUCGGGAAACCGGAGCUAAUACCGGAUGAUAUUUUGAACCGCAUGGUUCAAAAGUGAAAGACGGUCUUGCUGUCACUCAUAGAUGGAUCCGCGCUGCAUUAGCUAGUUGGUAAGGUAACGGCUUACCAAGGCAACGAUGCAUAGCGGACCUGAGAGGGUGGUCGGCCACCCUGGAACUGAGACACGGUCCAGACUCCGACGGGAGGCAGCAGUAGGGAAUCUUCCGCGAGGGGCGAAAGCCUGACGGAGCAACGCCGCGUGAGCGAUGAAGGUCUUCGGAUCGUAAAACUCUGUUAUUAGGGAAGAACAUAUGUGUAAGUAACUGUGCACAUCUUGACGGUACCUAAUCAGAAAGCCACGGCUAACUACGUG